UUUUGAUGAUUCAUAAUAUAGGUAGUUGAUCGACAGCAAUGUCGACGACCUCUAUUUGAUCCUGACCUAUCAAGUUUCGUAUGUAGUAUAUUUGACUACAUAGCUUAUAACGGGUACGAGAAAUUAGAGUUUGAUUUCGGAGAGAACGCUUUAGAAACGGCGAUCACUUCUAAGGAAGGCAGCAGGUGCGCAAAUUAUUCAAUCGGAUAUACCGGAGAUAGUGAAAAAAAAUAAGAAUACAAAUAUCUUUGAUAAUUGUAAUUCUAAUGAAUUAAAGUUAAAUAUAUUUUAUGAGUAACAAAUGGAGGGCAAGUCUGGUGCCAGCAGCCGCGGUAAUUCCAGCUCCAUGGAUAUAUAUUAGAGUUGUUGUAGUUAAAAAGCUCGUAGUUGAAACUAGACUAAUCUUGAUUAAUAUUUAAAAGUAAUUUUAGAUAUUAUUCAUAUUAGUUUUUAACGGCUAAUAUUGGUAUUUAUACCAGUACUAACCUUUUUACUUUGAAAAAAUUGGAGUGUUUCAAACAGUGUAUUACACUUUGAACAUUUGAGCAUGGGAUAAUAGAAUAAGACUAAAUGUUUUAUACAUUACAAAUUUUAUUGGUUUAUAUGUAUAAGAUUACUAUGCAUUUAGUAAUGAUUAAUAGGGACGAUUGGGGAUGUAUGUACUGAAUAGUUAGAGGUGAAAUUCAUGGAUCUAUUCAAGACAAACAUAUGCGAAAGCGUUCAUCAAGGGCGUUUUCAUUAAUCAAGAACUUUAGAAUGGGGAUCGAAGAUGAUUAGAUACCGUUGUAGUCCAUUCCGUAAACUAUAAAGGGAAAGGGUUAGUCAAUAGUGAAUAAUGGCGCUCUAGUUUACUAGAGAGCCUAUAUGCUUUGAUUAGAACUUUGUGAGAAAUUAGAACCUUUUGUUUUCUAGGGGGAGUAUGUUCGCAAGUAUGGAACUUAAAGGAAUUGACGGAGGGCCACCACAAAAUGUGGAUGCUGCGGCUUAAUUUGACCCAACCCG
rnacentral:rRNA from 1 species